rnacentral:tRNA from 1 species
GUUUUUGUAGUUGAAGUACAACAGUAGUUUUUCAGACUAUUAGUCCAGGUUAAAGUCCUGGCAGGAAUA